AAAUGAAUUACAGGGCAAGAUCUCUAUUGGCAGUUUUUCACUAUGCAUGAUAUAUGAUUAUGCAUGCAUCUCACCCAUGCAUGAAAUAAUUCAUUUUAGUGUGUAAACCUGCCAAAGGAGAUUUGCCCAGCGAUUCUCAU